rnacentral:rRNA from 1 species
GGCAUGCCUCAUACAUGCAAGUCGAACGAGGUCUUCGGACCUAGUGGCGCACGGGUGAGUAACAUGUGGGAAUCUACCUAAAGGUUCGGAAUAACUGCGAGAAAUUGUAGCUAAUACCGGAUGUGUCUGCAAAGAGAAAGAUUUAUCGCCUUUAGAUGAGCCCGCACUAGAUUAGCUAGUUGGUGAGGUAAUUGCUCCACCAAGGCUACGAUCUAUAGCUGAUUUGAGAGGAUGAUCAGCCACACUGGGACUGAGACACGGCCCAGACUCCUACGGGAGGCAGCAGUAGGGAAUAUUGGACAAUGGGGGAAACCCUGAUCCAGCAAUGCCGCGUGAGUGAAGAAGGCCUUCGGGUUGUAAAACUCUUUCAUCAAUGAUGAUAAUGACAUUAGUUGAAGAAGAAGCUCCGGCUAACUUCGUGCCAGCAGCCGCGGUAAUACGAAGGGGGCUAGCGUUGUUCGGAAUCACUGGGCGUAAAGCGUAUGUAGGCGGAUCAAAAAGUUAGAUGUGAAAUCCCUGGGCUCAACCCAGGAACUGCAUUUAAAACUAGUGAUCUAGAAUUUGGUAGGGGUUAGUAGAAUUUCCAGUGUAGAGGUGAAAUUCGUAGAUAUUGGAAAGAAUACCAGUGGCGAAGGCGACUAACUGGGCCAUUUUUGACGCUGAGAUACGAAAGCGUGGGUAGCAAACAGGAUUAGAUACCCUGGUAGUCCACGCAGUAAACGAUGAGUGCUAGUCGCUGGGACAAUAGUUUCAGUGUCGAAGCUAACGCAUUAAGCACUCCGCCU